GAGGACCUGAGGACACAGAAGAAAAGGGAGCAUUGUUGGCACAGGCCCUGCAGCUGUGCUCAGGGUAGAGAAGCAGAAUUUUCCAGAGGGAUGUGGGGCCAGCUCAACAUGAGCACAGCCCUGUUGGCUUUGGUGAAGUCCAGACUGUGUCCAGGAGGAACCCACAGCUGGUGGGGAGCAGGUGGGCCUCCCCCUGCCCACCUUUGGGCAUGUUGCCCCUGCCUUCUGGUGCUGAUGGCCCAGACCUUCGUGCCACCCCAAUAACCCCUGGUGCAGCCCUCAAAUGGUGGCAGAGGCAGCUUCUUAUCCCUGUUAUAUUUUUAAAGGAAAAUGGUUAAUUCGGUACUAAUGAAGCCUCACGUGCUCGUUUAUCUGGCAGGAACACCCCUUAUGGGUUCUGCAUUCAGUGCAACACCAGUACUGAGCAGUAUGAAGGGUUAAGGCACGGGUGAAGGUGCCGCAUCCCUGCCUUAGGUCCUAACUCGGUGCCCCAGGAGCUGAGCCCGGGGUUGCUAAGCUUCCUCCAGUAGCUAUAGGAACAGCAGCCUCGACGCUAAACACCGUUAAAUUACACCACGCAAGCUUGAGCUCCUUUAGGUUUGUGCUCUGAGCAGACAAAUCCCUCGUGUUGAAGUGGCUUCACCUCCUACCCGUGCUCUGGAUUAUGGGUUAAAAUUGCUUUGAUUUGAAACAAAACAACUUCUCAUUUCCAUACCAGCUGUGACCCCCCAGGUGCCAAUCUUGGCUCAAAGGCCACCCUUAUCUGCAGCCUGAAAUCCCCAGUGCCAUCCUGCUCGUGCUGGGGAUGGAUACAGCCCCAUUACUCUUGCUGGGACUAUUGUGUGCUGACCACCAGGCACAUAAAUCUGGAAAAUGGGUUCCUCAUGGUUUUGGUAAAAAAGUGUAAGGAGCUGAAGAGCUCCUCACUGCAUCACCAGAAAUUUUACCAAAGCUCUAAGAAGUCAUGAACUUCAGGUAUUAUUCAGAGCCAAGACAUGGUCCUGUUGGGACCAUGGACCUGCCUUGAAGGGCCAAGGCAUGUGCAGUGCCAAGAGGUAGGAACUGCCCCAUCCACUACAACAGGCUCCUUCUGGGACUUUUGGUGGCAGGACGAGGUGGGAUGACAACCUGGGGUUCUCUAGCAGGAUGGGUGCAAUAGCUCAGUGGUUGGGUUUCUGGGGAUGGGAGAGGAUAAAGGUGUGCUGCUUUGGUGUGAUCUGACUUUGCUGCUGUCUGCAAGUGCCAUAAUCUCGAGCAGUUUCCCUCUCUCACUGCCAUUACUCCCUGCUCUGAAGCUCCUCUCCAGCUCCCCAGGGAGCGGCCGUGCCUCUCCCUCUUCCCCUGUUGCUCAAUGAAAAUAUUUCCUUACUGAUUCCUCUCCUACAAUACCGAGGUACUCCUGUAAAUACAACUAUUCAGACACCUCACAGCAUUUAUGGGGUUAUUAUCCCACAUCACUGCAGCGUUCCUGCUGCACUUUUUCUUCUCACGAGCAGGCAUGUGGGACACCUUUGGUAAGUUCUGUCUUUCUUUUUGUUUAUGGUUUCUGGCAAAGCAAGAAAAAUGGAAAUAAAAUGGAAAAAACUCCAAGGUGGAGUGGCCACCUCUUUCACCUUUGCUCCUCAUGGUGACUUUGUCCAUGCUCACAGGGGAGGGAAAGGAGGAGGACACCUGAGAAGACAACAAGGUGGGGUGGGUGCACCUUAAGCAGUGUUUUGGGGCUACUUGCCCAAAGCUGGGGACAACUAAGCACUCGUGAGACUAACCAGAAAGCUAAGCCCUUCACACUGCUUGAGUGCCUUCAACUUGAUGGUGACACGUCCCCAUGGGGUCCAUCCAGGGCUUUUCUCCUUCGACACCCUUGCAACACCCCGUGGUUGAGCCUUGCUCGGGGGGGGGCUGCUCUCAGAGCCCCCCAACACCUCCUCCCCAAUCCUCACCACCUCCUGACCUCCCCCACAGCUUCUUGGUGGCCCUGGCUGACCUACGGGUGGCACAGGGACUAAUUAGCACUGCCUGCCUUUGAUUGACUUGCUGGCAUGCGAGACUCACCGCGAGCUCCUUGGCCUCUCUCCCUGCUUUUUUUUCUCUCUCUCUUUUUUUUUUUUUUUUUUUUCUUUGUGUGUGUGUGUGUGUGUGUGUGUUCCGUAGGAAAGUAAUUAUGGCCACACGCCAGUGCCGCAGAGCCAGGCUGGAGCUUUGUAGUGAGCCCCAUUGCAGGGCUGCAGAGCAAACUCAGUGGUGGGAAUAAAAUAAAGUCCUCCCAAACUCCUCGCCGCCUAGGAGAACCCAGCCUGGCCACUGGAAGUGCUUGCAGGUGGGAUGGAGGAGAGUGUGAGAGUGUGGGCACAGCCACGAGGACUAGCUAAGGAUGGUGAGCAGGUCGUGUGGCUCACAGCUUCAAUGUCAUGGUUGGGCUUGGUCACCUUGGAGGUUCUUUCCAACCUAGAUGUGUCUAUGAUUCCGUGACCCCAACCCACAGACAAAAAGACAUCCAUUUGCUCAUAGAAACCACCAGGUUCAUGGACCCGAACCCAGUACUCGUCAUGCUGAGUGCCCGUGGGAGUGGCCAGCGCUCAUUUCUGGGCAGCAAAUGGUGGCAUCACCUGGGUGGACGGAUGGCUUCGGGUGGUGGUGCUGCAGGGGCAGUUGCAUCUCCACGGCAUGAUGCUAGGAGAGCUUUCUCUUUAUUUUCUUUUAUUAUUACAAACAGAGUUGUGGGAACAAUUUGGGGCUGCAUGCACAGUUUGAAAGGUCAGGGCUUGUCUAUCCAGGAAGAGAAGUCGCAUUAAUGACAGGUUUGCGGGUGAAUUUGGGCCAGCCCAGGCAGGAGUUUAAAUUAAGGUUCAAAUUCAAGUUUGGCAGGUGUCGAACGCUCAGCUCCAAAAUGCUUCAGCUUAGGGGAUCUGCGAAAAAAUCAAUCUGAUACCAUUUAUGUGCACGGGGCUCAAUAAAAUGAAACAAUCUAAAACUGAGAAAAAUGUUUGAGCACUUUUGCCCAAGAUGUAACAGAGCCCAGUGCUCUCUUUCCCUCCCAAACAGCCUCUCCGCACGCAGGAUUUGCAUCCUAGGGGCCACUGAAGGAAGAAAUAGAGAAAAAAAAAUCCUGCAGCACGUCCUCCUUAAAUAUAUAUUGUAGGUUAUUUUUACAGGUUGCAGUCCCGAGCAGCAUCUGUGGCCCCCUUUUUUAUUGCCUUGCAAAUGCAGUCACAGCAGGCACAACUCACACCAUGGGACCGGCACAGGUAUGGCACAGAUGCAAAAUAUGGAGGGGGGAACACAAGAGGGACUUGGUGAGCACUGUGCUGGGGACGAUUUAAGGUUUGGACAGCCCAAGAGCAUCUCCAAGUGAAACCAAAUUGAACGCCUUGCUUUGGGGCAUCAGGUGCCCCAGCAGUCCUGGGGGGGCCGGGGCUGUGGAUGGAUGCGAGCUGGCUCUCGAGCUGUGCCGGGGAUGCCCGGGGAGCGAGCACCUCCCCCUGCUGACUAAUUGCAUGGUUAAGCAUGAAAUACUCUGAUGCUUUUAACAGCAUUCCCCAACUAUAUGUGGAGGAAGAAAUCUAUAGUUCCCCAAGCUGCCUGUAAAUUCGGCAGGCUUAAUAAUUCAUGUGUGCCUUUGUGAUCACAGCCUACAUUAUAUCUUUCUUUCAUUACAUACUCUUUUAUUGAAUUUUCACGGCAUAUAUCAAUAGCCUCUAUAAGCUCCCAUGGGAAAGGAUGAGCGCAAAGUUUUAGGGCAAACUCAUUUCAUUAACACGUCAGCAGCUGAGGCCUGAAUCUGGCCCACAGCACCCAGCUGUACGAGACACCUUGCUGCAGAGUUUUGUAGACUCUUUUUACCCAGGAACACCCAAAUUCAUGAAAAAAGGGUUUUGGAUGGGGCUAGAAUUUUUUGGAUUUCCUACCCUUCAUUGACACAGCCAUGAGCUGUGUUUCUGACCCCUGAAAUGAAGCUCUGCUGGCCCUGGAGCAGCUCUGGUGAUGCUCUGAAGCCAUAAAGCUGGAAUUAACCAUAAUUGCGGAGCAUUGCAGGGCACAAACACCCUCUAAAUCCUCUUCAAUUACGUGGUAGUACUUAAUCACAUGGCAACUGGAAUUUAAGCACAGAAAUAAAUACGAUGUUAUUUUUGUCUUUGGCAGGGACAUUGGUAAUGAAUUUUGGAGGGUGAUGGAGGACCUGCUGGCACGGCAUGGUGGGGGCUGCGUGGUGGGGCUGCCAUCGCUUUGCAUCCCACAGAGAUUUAUCAUGAACUGCUGAGAAAUCUGACAAAACAGUUGGGCUUUUAGCUCUUCCUGCAUCCUUGUCUGGCUCAGCUUUUUCUCUGCUACUCUGGUUUUUGCCUAUCCUAAAUGGACUUCAGGUGCAAAUGACCAUGUGAUUGCUUUCUACUUAUGACUACAUUUAGCACCUGUAUGGCAGGUGUGGGGAUCUGGUACAGCACCACACGAGUGUGCAGAGUUGCCCUCCUUCCCUUUCUCUCUCCUGCUCCCCUUGCCAUCAUCCCUCCCUCUUCCCAUCCUUGCACAGGCAGAGACUCAUGGACAGACGGUGGCAGGGCCACGUGGCCAUCCUCCAGCAUGGAGGGAACCCAGUGCAAGAGAGAGCCUGGAUCCCCAGUGGAUUCAUCUCACAUGAAUUACACUGCCUUCAGGUCCCUCUUGGCCACGUGCAUGAGGUGGUUUUUUUUUUCCCCAUUUGCUCUCAGCACACAGCAGCAAAGCCUCGUGCUCAUGUACUGGGUGCUUGCUGUCAUGUUUCAUUAGUGCACGAGCCGUCCUGGCCCUCCUCGCAGCCUUGCACUUAGCCAUGGUGGAUGCAAAUUCCCUGACUUGGGGAGCCCCCAUCCUGGCUCCACCAAAGUGCUGCCAGCUAUCACCCCCCUGCACGGACAUUAUGCACAUUAAAGAUGCACGGAAGGGGCUGGGAAGCUAGAUGCAUCAGCCAGGAGGCAAUGCAAAGGGCAGGAGGCGAGCACUGCUGGAAGGCAGAGUUGCAUCGGAUUUCAUCUGUGGCACCAGGGCACCUGGCCCCAAAAUGGGAUUUGGAAGUGCUGCCACAGGACUGCAUGGCAAAGAAAUGCCCAUUGGGCAUGUCUUUGCAUUCAUUUUCCCCCGGGUGUGUAUUUUUACACUGUGGAGAAGGAGCAGACCUGAUGCGCCCCUCAGGUCGUGCGUGCUCUGGCAUACCUCAGAUUGUUUAUACCUAGACUGGAAAAUUCUCAUUUUUCUCCCUUUUUAACAUAUCACUCAAGCUAAGCCAUGGACUGCAGCUGAUUCACAUGCAACCUGGCAGGUGGCAGCAGGGAUCACACUGUUUGAACCCUCCAAUAUUUGAUAUUUCCUACCAAUUGCAGUUUCUGCAGAGUUUCCCCCAGUUAUUCAGCAAAGCAGCAGGCACUUGUGCCAGACUUUGCUCCCCUGGACGGAGCACACAGCCUCCCCCACACAAGUAACACUGGCUGUGCAGCGAGCAGCGCGCUGCUCAUGCACCAUUUAUCCAUCCACCUCCCAUACCUUAACCUCAGCAUUUUGGGAGAGCAGCAGAGAUGCUCACCCCCAGCCCCAUAGCAGGGCUCAGGAUGAUUUCUACCAUCAAAAAGACAACCAGAGCAAGGAAAUGAAUCGUAGACCUGCUGCAGAGACUUCGUUUGAUAAAUAAUGUAUAUAGAGUUUGCAGUAAUAACCACUAUUUUUUUUUUCCCCGAGCCAGCCAGCUGGGCUGGGUUUGACACAUCCUCGCUGUACUGUCAGAUAGGUUAAUCUGUUUUACUUAUUUUAUUAUUAUUUUUUUCCAUGCCAGAUGAGCCUUGUGUGUGCGUAUGGAGAGGAGGUGGCAGCCCUGGGUAUGCACAGGGCUGCCUGCAGGUACUGGCUGCCCCAAACCCAGGGCUGCUGCUCCCUUCAUCAAGCCUUGAGCACGCACCCAUCUCCCGCUGCUUCCCCACAAGCACAGGGCACAGCUCGCCAGCUCCAUUGUCUCUGGUUUAGUCCUGCCACCAAAUUCUUCAGGGAAAAUAAAGGUGAUUGGGAAGCCUCAGUGCACCAGCGUGGACUUGCACAGAAGACCUGAGUCAGGCCGAGUUUUUAUUGCCCUAUAAUAGGCAAGUACCUCAUUAAGGAGUGGAUAUAAAUGUGUAAUAUAAUUUUGCUGAGCUUGGAGCCGGUGCAGGGCAUGAGAGCUUGGAAGCAAGCCUGCUGGUCUGUCAGGCUUCCUAAGCUCCAGCUUGGUUUUGCUCACUUAAAUUAUCCCACUAGCAUCAUGAGUGUUGGGGUUGGACAGUUUACAAGCAAGCACUUAAAAUCAAUUUUCUUUUUUUUUUUUUUUUUUUUUCUUCUGAAGAAUUGCAUGCUGAAGGAGACCCCUUCAGUGCUGUGGCAGUGAUGUGACACAACCCCUGUCACCAGCAGAAAAGUUCAUUGUGCUCUGCUCCCUCCUCCCUCCAUCCCCAGUGCCAACCCAUGCACAUACACAGUUGCCCUUUGCUGAUCAGGAAAGGCUGAUUCAGCAUUUCUUAUUUCUCUGAGUUGGUGAAUUUUAUAAUUUCUAAGCCCAGAUUAGCCACAGUCAUCUGGAGCACUCUUUCUUGUCUGCGUUUGCUGCCCUUUCCCUUUUGAUCCAAAGGGUAGAUAAAUAAUGAUAAAUAACACACUCUGGUCUUCCUGUAGGGCUUGCUGAACUGAGAAACGAGAUCACUUGGAUAGCAAUUGCAGCACUGUAGGAAGGGGGGAAAUAGCCAAAAAUAUUUGCAGAGUUGGAGUGCAGCAGUGCGAAAGCCAGGGAUUAUUGGUUGUGUGGUGCCUCUGCAGAAACCUGCGAGCAAACACCUCCUGGUGCCAGCCAGGAGCAGGACACAGCCACUAACUGAGAUGGACAGGGGCUGCCACUCCCACACCCUAAAUACAGCAAAAAGACAGUGACUUCUUCACCACGGGGGCACUGGCACUGGGUCUGUCCGUCUGUCCUGUGCCUGGGUGCUGGGGCAGACCCAAUACAGCUCCCACCGUAAGAAGAUGCAAGUUCAUGUUGAGUUGAUUUAAAAUGAUUUAUUUAUUUAUUUUACCCAAAAUACUUUAGUGAAAAGUGCUGACGGCAACAGGAUCCAUUCCUCCAGCAUUUAUUUGGUGGCUCAGCCUGUGCCUGCACACCUCUGGCUGUUGGUGUCAGGUUUGUAAUUAUGUUCUUGUUAGCACAUUUUAUUUUUUUCUGGGGGGUGGGUAGGUGAUGGAAACAUGCCUACAUUUCAUGUCAGCCUUUCUUGGCAUGUCAGAAAGCAUUUUCUAUUUGCCAUGACAGCAGGAGCUUAAAUCAAAGCUUAAAUAUCCAUAAAAACCUAUUGGUUGCUGAAUUGCCUGGUCCUGCAGCUGGCAGCCAGCUGAUCCUGCAAAAUCCACAGAAAAAUGGGACCUGGGACAAGGUAAGGACCUGAGGGAGCAAAUCUGCUCCCUUUGCUCCAGCUCCCAUUCCCUCCAACCCAGAGCUGACUUUCCAACCUCCUGGUCCUUGGGACGGAGAGGAGCGAGGAGAUGGCCCUGUGCUCCAUGGGAGUCUGGGGAAGGGCUGGGGCUGAAAAUAUAUUUUCAUUUUAUUUUAUUUUAUUUUUAGACAACCCCUUGGUGGUGCAACAUCAGAGCUCCUGCUUGCCCAAACACUGGCUCAGCCUGGGCUGACUUCCAGGUGAAACAGCUCAUGGAUCCAAGGCUGCGCUGUCCUGGUGAUUCACUCUGCCACAGGGAGGGCAUCUCAGAGCCAGCAAAUUUUUGUUCCCCCCCCAGUUUAAUACCAGCUCCAGCAUGCAAAGAGGUGCCUGGCAGGGUCCACGAGCCCUGGCCACCUGAUGAGGUGUGAGGAUGCCACCAGCAGAUGGGUCGACACUCGCCCAUGAUGGUGCAGGAACCCUGGUGCCUCUGGUCCUGGUGCAGCUCCUGGCCCCAUGGCCCCAUUUAUUAUAUCUCUCUCUCUAUAUAUAUAUAUAGAGAGAAAUAUAUAUAUUUUUUCCCCUACAUUCAACAGCCCUGACCCAGAAUGACCAGUGAACAUCCCAGACCCAUGCAUCUCCGAGGAACUCUCCGAGCAUCCUGGCCAACCCCGUACCGGAGACAUAGGACAUCAUCUCCCUGCUACAGACCUCUCCUGCAAUGACAGCACCUUGGGGUUGAAGAUUUUUGCUACAUGACAGUGCUCACAGUUUUUCUGUCUUAUUAUUUAUCAGGGCUGGAACUUGUGGUGAUAACACAAAUGGGAGUUUUUCUGCCAACGUCUCUGGGCUGGUUAGCCAUUAAAGGAUCUGUGCACACGCCGGUCCUGAAGUCAGGCCAACUUUCUCUUCCAAUUUCCCCUCCUAUCCUUCAUCCUCACUGCCUGUUUUCCCUUUGGGAGACCUGUUGUAGUGAUUUUUUUUUUCUUUCAUUUUUUUUUUCCCCCGUAUAUAGCAGAGUUUGAUUUGGCAACCAGCCAGGGGACUUGCAAUUGCUUUGUCCUUUGGUCUGUUGGGUUAUUUCGACUUCAUGUUUCUCUAUUGGGAAACUGAUUAAGACCAAAAAAAAAAGUCCCAUCUUCGACUGGAAAUGGACUUUCAGUGAUAAAAAAGAUGUUCCUAGGUUAUCCUGGAGGCAGGUGCAAUCUCCUGUGUUCUUUUUUUUUUUUUUCUUCAUUUUUUUGUCUUGAUUUAUUUAUUUAUUUAUUUUUACUUGUUAGCACUUUCAUUUAUUUUUUUUUUUUUCACAGGUGCUUGAGCAUUUAAAGGAUGUUUCUCCCUUUCUCAGACAGGCACAGAUGUUACUUUAAACCCAUGAAAUCCUAUCCCCUAGAAGCAGAGGCAUGCUUUGGGGUAGAUGACCUAAAGGCUGGUGGAGGCAGGCUUACCAUCGUGAUGGCCUGUCCUUGAGCUCCGAUGGCCAUUGCCAAGGCAUUCUGGUCAUGCCAGCUUGCUGGCAAAGCAAAGAUGUGCCAAACACCUGCCAGAGAAAUGCCAAAAAAUGUCAGGGAAAAACAAAAAGUGGUGAGAUCAGAAAGGGGAUGAGAAAGCAUAUAACAAGGAGAGUGUGGUUGAGCAUGGCAAAUAAAAAGGGUGAUGUAGUCUUAGAGCUUUGCUGUAGGUCUUAAAUAGGAUUACGGGGAUAAACAGGACCCAGUGCAGCUUGUUUGGGAAGAAGGAAACUGGCCCCAAAGGAAUGAAGGAAAACGGGGCUCCAAGAACAGGGCAUUUCUCCUGAAGGUUAGCAAGGGGCCGGCAGCAGGUUACUUGGAUGUGGGUAACCUGGAAGGGGUGGCCAAAAUAGGGUGAAACUGUUGGGCCAGACCUCACGUGAGUUAGGGUGGGGAGGUGGGUGAAUGCGAGGGGCUUUUCUAACCUCAGGUGCCUCCACACCGUGCAACCACACGGCAACAGUGCCUUCGACUACAUGGACACCUCAUGGGAGAGGUACGACAGGAUGGAGCCAUUCAGAUCUCAGGGUAUGUGAUGGCAACAUCUCGUUUCCAAUGAUGGAGAAAGCUACUGGAGAAACUGCUAUUCUGGCUCUAAUUUGGGCUAAUAGAGAACUGUCUGAAAAAAAAAAGUGGGAGGUAAUUUCAGGAAAUAAAUUACAAAAUAGCGGAGCACACAGUGCCACGAGAAAAGGAGUGAGAACAGCAGAGCGAGGAUAAUGGACCGAAAAAAACUCAGGGAACUGGUAGGUAACAUCGCUAGGGAAGAUGAUCUGAGGGAUAAAGAGAGCAGGGAAGCUUGCAAUUACAUAAAGUGACUGCUCUAGGGGCACCAAAACAAGCCUUCCUGAUGCAGUGGGAUAGCAGGAAGGUGGCUCAGACAAAAAGGGUGGCAGAAAAGGGGAAAGGAGGGCAGAAACCCAGUGAUGGGGUUGGCAGAGCAGAUGCUCAGCUAGGUAUGAACAGGACAAGCUCCAACAGGCCAUCAACCUAAAGGCUGUGAAAAAAACUUUUUGUAAAUGCAUCGGACAGGGAAGGGGAACUAAGGAGAGACCGAGCUCACUGCCUCCGUGGAGGGGGGGAGCCGAGAGGAUCCACGGUGGGCUGUGCUUCAGCCCUCCCUCCCAGCCAGCUAAUUAGGCCAGGGUAAUCAUGGUGGGCUUACGAGGUUUCUCCAAGAGCUGCUGGUGGCAAGUGAGCAUCUCUUCAGCAGGGCAACUGGAAGCCUGGCUCCAAAACAGGGAGCAUUAUGCGAAGGCAGGGAGAACUACAAGAAGUCAUUAAGCAAUCAAUUUGUUAGAACCUGGAGGGUAAUGAGGCUACAAAGCAGCAACCAGCACAGGUUUGUUGAGAACAAAUGUGAAACCAAUUUGCUCCUAUGAUGGGAUACCUGCUCUUGAGGUGCAGGAGAUAUGCCAGAGCUUGGUGAUGAGGCUUGAACUGAUGUGUGCAAGUCCCAAAAGCAGGAUAAAGAACCUGGUCUGGUGUGGUCCUCACCACGAGGAGAGGAGAGGUGGUUGAAACACCUCCCUCAAGCCAUCUGGGGAGAGAAUUGAGGGUCUCCAGCCCAGAUGUCUCUAAGGGGUGGGUUAAGGCUGGUGAUGUUGGUGAGCAACCUCAUGUGGAGAGGGAAUGGAGUCAGAAACAGUGACGAGCUCAGCAAAUGGCAUGAGCAGGCUGCAAGCACCAAGGUGGAGGUGCACAAGGGUGAUGGAGAAAUCACUUAGAGCAACUCCAAACCAGGCAUUAACAGGACUGCAGGAAGGGCUGGGGACUGUGUGCUGAACUCAGGAGGAGACGAGCCGAUGCACGUGGCUGACAAUGACAACCGCGAGGCACGGUGGCAUCAGCUGCCCUCUGCCUCGUCCCCUGAGGCAGUGCCUGUGCUGCUGAGAUGAGCUCACUCGUGUGUCUGUCCUGGCCAGGCGCUGACAUCGCAGCUCUGCCCGCAAGGACCAGCCCUGCCCUUGCUAGGUCCUGCUGCAGUCUCCAGCUGGUCCCAGUCACCGUCAGCUCCACUGCAGGGGCUCCUCAUCCUCAUCCUCAUCCUCAUCCUCAUCCUCAUCCUCAUCCUCAUCCUCAUCCUCAUCCUCAUCCUCAUCCUCAUCCUCAUCCUCAUCCUCAUCCUCAUCCUCACCCUCAUCCUCAUCCUCAUCCAUCUUCAUCCUCGCCACCAGCUGCCCCCUGCUCCCCGUCUCAUGUGUUCAGAGCCCUGAAGGACAGCCCUGCCCUAAAGCAAAUCUCACAGGGCUUGCUCAGGACUUGUUCUUGUGUCUCUGCCUUGCACCUCGUGCUCGUGCUGCAGUGCAACAUCCCUGCUGCCCCCACCUCCGCACUGCGUCCCCAGGGCCAUGGUCCUGCCGUGCUCGCUACGUGUCCACAUUUGUCUGAACAGUUGACCCCUUCAGUUAUUAUUAGCUCCAUGGUCACCUCCACCACUGCCUGUCAUGAUGAAUUAGAAAUACAGUCCUCUCUGCAUCAUGGUCCUCGAUAAACCAACCGUCUCUCCUACCUGCUGCAGUCACCUCAUUAUAACUCCAUUACCUUUAACAACAACUCCAUUACCACCCAUUAUCUUCCUUAUCAUCUCCUUUACAAGGCUGUUAUCUGCUCCUCCUCCUCUACAGCCAUCCCCUCCUCAAUUACGAUUCCAUUAUCUUUAUUACCACCCCAUUAGAGUCAUAAUUAUUCCCAUCACAAUUCCAGGACCUACUCCUCCAUCCCGACAAGCUGGUGUCUCCAGAAGCCCCCCCCCCCCCACCAGCACCGCUCUGCACUGCCUCUGUUGGGUAGCGCCGUCAUCACCACCUGCCCUGUGCUCAGCAUCAUCCCUGUGAUGAUGGCAAUAUUUUAAUUAGUCUUCAUUACGGUUUUACUGAUUUAUUUUAUUUUAUUUUAUUUUAUUUUAUUUUAUUUUAUUUUAUUUUAUUUUAUUUAUUUAUUUAUUUUGCUGUUAUUGCUUGCUUUAUCAGCCAUUUUCCUUUCCCUGUCAUGGUUGGGAUUGGUGCCUGGGUGUGAGCUGAUGCUUUGGUCCGUGGCAUUGCACUGAUUUGCACCAGCUCUGAGUGGGUAUCUUCCUCCCAUCCUCUAUCACAAUUACAGCAUUUUCACUUCUGCUAAAGCCCUAAUUGCUGACAUUAUCCUUCCAUUAGCCUCCAGCUUCCCUGGUGGGUGCGACCACCUCCUCCCACCAUCAGUGCCCCCAUUCCUGCCCAGGCAGGGGAACAUCCCCAACCUCCCUGAUUUUCCAUGCCUACAGCUUCCAACGGCUCCAGGCAUGGCUUAUUCCUUUCAUUUUCCCCGUGGUUUUAGUGGAAGAAGGGUUUUUGUUGCAAAGGUGCCCACUUCCACAAAUUCCCGCGGUGCAGCCCUGAGGGUGCAUCCUGUCGGUGCUGUUCUUGUGGCUGCUGUGCUCUGGGCACUGCCAAAACCACCCACCCUUCAGCCACAGCACCAGCAGCUUCCUGAAACCACCUUAUUCACUCAGGAGAGGCAUUCAAAAGCUCCUUCAUUGGCAUUAAUAGUAGGGGGAGAGUCUCUUGCCCAGCACAGGGAGGGCUGCACCAGCACUGCACCCCUUGCUCCAUGGCUUUUGGGAUCUGGCAGUAUUGUAUCUCACUGAAUAUCACGGGAACAGGGCAGGGCAGAGCAUUAGCUUCUUAUGAAACCUUCCUGGCUUAUCAGCCCCUUCUCCGUGUGUGGCCGCACAAAAAUAUCACGGGCAAAAACCAGGAACGUUUAAACCUGGUGCUGGUGAAGGUGCUGGGCUGGGCUCCUCCACCUCUGGGGCACUGCUCUACCUGGAGAGAAAGGGUGGGAGAGAGCCUGGGUGUUUUGGGCACCAUUUUGGGUGCUGUGUAGGAACAGGGCACUGCUGUGUCCACCCUAUGGCACUGAGCAGAAGCCUGCAGGUUACAGAGCCACAGAAUUACCAGAGGAUCGGGAAACCACCUCUCUGCGAGAGAUUCAGAGAGCUGAGCCUGUUUAGUUUAUCAAGAAGAUUGAGAGGUGAUUUCAUUUAUUCCUGCAAGAACUGUCAAGGCAGGGAAACACUAAAGAAGGCACUAAAGAUCUCCUGAAAGCUGUGGAGAAGAGCAGAGGGGGAUGGCAGGGAGCAAAGGCAGGUGGAUUUGGGUGACUGGUGCAGCACACGUGGAUUACAGUGCGAGCGAUGCCCAUCUGCAGCAAGCGAUGCUGCAACAUGUGCUGGGCAUCCCCAGGCCCCGUCCGUCUGCAGGCAGCACUCAGGGGCUGUGUGUGGAGCUGGGGAAUUGGGGUGUUGGGAACUGUUAAUUAUGCCGGGCUGACGGGUAAUUAACGUCGGCAGGGCGAGCUGCGAUUUCGAUCAUGUUCGGAUGCCCUGGGGUUAUUUCCCACGAUCAAUGCAGUGCAUAAAUAAUGCAGCCCAUGGCAGGGGGGAACGCUGCCUAUCGUUAUCAGACUCUGUGCUGUUUGGAUCAGUGAUGCUAGGAGGGAACACGGCUUAGGGUAAAAGGGAAAAAUGGGAAUAAAUACACUGGUGGGGCUUUGCUAAUUCUAGCUCGGCUGAAGUGGAAUAAAUGAAGGGAGAUGGUGCAGUUCUCAUUGCUCUGCUACUAUUUCUAGAUUGCUAUAGGAUGGGUAUAAUAGAGGGCAGUGGGGAAUUUGGGUGUCAAAGGAAAGGAUUUGGCUGACGAGCUGGCAAGGCACAGGGCGCUGUGUUUAAAGCAGGGCCAGGAAGGAGCCUGACUCUCUGGGCUUCCAGCUUUAAUCUGUAGCCACAGGUUGCCUCUUAAAAGGCAUCAGCGGGGCUCGCCUGAGCGAGCUGCCUCACUGCCAUAACCUGCUGUCCAUUCCAACCACUAAACCGCAUUAUUUUGAUAUUUUUUUUUUGCUAAAAAAGACAAGGAAGUGGCAGAAAGUGGGCAGUGUGGUGUCCAACACUUUAAAGACUCAGACAACACAGCCAGCAAACCUGUGCUGGAAGAGCUGGUGCCACCGAGGCACAAGCAUGCUGAACAUCUGGAGAGGGAGCACCUGGGAGCUUUUUUUUUCUUUUUUUUUUCUGGUUGUUGGUUUUGUUGUUUUUUAAUUAAAUGGAAACCAUUUGGUGAGGUCAGUAAAUGAUUUGGGGGCCCAGCCCUUUUUUCGCUGUAGAGCCCCAUGGGGCUGCUGCCUUGGGUUUGCGAGCUGUGGUUAAGAGCAAGCCCACUGCAAACCGCAAGGCUGGGAAGGGAGCACCUUGGGGAGUCUUUAAACAACACUUAAUUACAUUAGCUAUACACCAGCCGAGGGAUAAUUCACCAUCUCGAGACAGACACUUUAAUCCUGGCAGCAGGAUGGAACCAGAAGUGCGCAGGGGCUGAUGCAGGAUGCUCUGCUCCCUGGGUACUGCCAAGGGGCUGAGAACUGCUGCCGAUGCCUUGCAAAGGACUGGCCCCAGGGGCUUUGCUGGCAGCGGGUUUCUGAGCGUGCCCAGAUACCCUCCUGAAGGAGCAAUUUAGUAUUUGCAAGACCCCAGCUGCUAGCUGGGUUUGGGGUUUGCUCCCCCUGUCCUGCUCUGUGGGGCUGGCAAAUCCGGCUCAGAGCUGGCUCCCACACCAUCAUCAAGCCACAAACACUCCCAGAGAGAAAACUGGCACUUGGUACAUGCUGGUACAGCCAUGGGGUCAUUCCCUUUCCCUAUAUCUCCAAUACUCAGAGAUUUGGAGCUCGGCUGGUGGGGACAGGGCUUUCCAGCCCCCCAGGUCUGCAGCCCAGAUGGUCUGCACAGAUUACUGCAGCCUCAGGAGCCACCAAUCCUGGGCAGUUUGGCAGGGCUGAAUUCCCUCCAAAUGACAAAAAUAAAUAAAAUCUCUUCACAUUAGAUGCUGGGAAGCCCAUGAAAAAGCUGUGUACACAGUGAAAACAAAUACGUGGUUAAAUAGCCUCUCCAACAGUAUUUCUCUAAAACGCCUCUCUAAAUAACGCAGAGUGAAAGGCUUGCUCAGCAGUGAUUAACCUCCGCUCGGGAAGAUGCUCUGUAUCAAAUCGUUACCGUCAGCUGAUUAAAAACGAAUUAAACGGAACAGAAAACAAUUCCCAAAACAUCAUCUCUCCUUUUGAAUGCAACGCCCAGAUGCGAAUCAUAGCACACCCUAUCCCACCGAAGAGCAAGUGGAGGCACCUGGAGAGCCCGAGGAUGAAGGGCAAAGGGGAUGCCGAGAGGGAUGGGGCGAAAUAACUCAACCUGGAGACAGCUCUGCCUCGAGGGCCCUUCUUAUUUCCAAGCUGCCGGUUUAGAAAAAUAAAAUAAAUGAAGUAACGGGGAAGGACUGCAGCUGAUUUAGCAGCCUUCGUCUGCUUGGCAUCCGGUGGAGGUCUGAGGGGUCAGGAAGGACAGGCAGGUGGGAGAGACCCGCGCCGUGCCAGGCGCUGGCACCAUCUCCCAUUCCUGCCAAUCAAGCCUCGCCAGCUUUUAAUUGCCACGCUCCAUGUGACUCCAAGCAAUGGCAAAGCAUCAAAUGCUGCUUCUCA